UACAGAGGAUGCAAGUGUUAUCCGGAAUCACUGGGCGUAAAGCGUCUGUAGGUGGUUUAAAAAGUCCACUGUUAAAAAUUGAAGCUUAACUUCAAAGAUGCCGUGGAAACUUUUAAACUUGAGUAUGGUAGGGGUAGAGGGAAUUUCCAGUGGAGCGGUGAAAUGCGUAGAUAUUGGAAAGACCACCAAUGGCGAAGGCACUCUACUGGGCCAUUACUGACACUGAGAGACGAAAGCUAGGGGAGCAAAUGGG
rnacentral:rRNA from 1 species